rnacentral:rRNA from 1 species
UACGUAGGUGGCAAGCGUUAUCCGGAUUUAUUGGGUGUAAAGGGCGUGUAGGCGGGAGCGCAAGUCAGAUGUGAAAGGCCGGGGCUCAACCCCGGGACUGCAUUGGAAACUGUAAAGCUAGAGUGCCGGAGGGGUAAGCGGAAUUCCUAGUGUAGCGGUGAAAUGCGUAGAUAUUAGGAGGAACACCAGUGGCGAAGGCGGCUUACUGGACGGUAACUGACGCUGAGGCUCGAAAGCGUGGGGAGCAAACAGG